GCCGGGCAUGGUGGCAUGUGCCUAGUCCCAGCUAUUUGGGAGGCUGAGACAGGAGUAUCGCUUGAGUCCAGGAGUUCUAGGCUGUAGUGUGCGAUGCUGAUCUGGUGUCCUCAAUAAGUUCAGCAUCAGUUUGGUGACCUCCCAAGAGCAGGGGACCACCAGGCUGCCUAAGGAGGGGUGAACCGGCCCAGGUCAGAAACGGAGCAGGUCAAAGCCCCCAUGCUGAUCAGUAGUGGAAUUGCACCUGUGAACAGUCACCGCACUGCAGCCUGGGCAACAUAGGGAGACCCUGUCUCUG
rfam:Otolemur garnettii contig111268, whole genome shotgun sequence.